CUUAUCGCGUUAACUUCGACACCGAACCGGUUAAGGCCCGACAUCUAGCAUCCAUCGUUUACGGGCGUGGACUACCAGGGUAUCUAAUCCUGUUUGCUCCCCAGCGCUUUGCGCACCUCAGSGUCAGUGUAUGCGUCCAGAUGGCCGCCUUCGCCACGUGGGUGUUCCUCCAGAUAUCUACGGAUUUCACUCCUACACCUGGAAUUCCGCCAUCCUCUCCGAUACUCAGAGGCUUUACAGUAUCAAGUGCAAUUCCCGCGGUUGAGCGCGGAGGGCUUUCACACCUGACUUAUAAGGCCGCCUAGCGCGCGCUUUAGCGCCCAGUGAUUCGCGAUUAAGCGCUCGCACCCUCCGUAUUACGCGGCGGCUGCUGGCACGGAGUUAGCGCGGKGCUUCCUCUGGAGGUACCGUCAGUGAAAGGUGGUAUUAGCACCAAACAGUUUCUUCCCUCCUGACAGAGGUUUACGACCCGAAAGCCUUCAUCCCUCACAUGGCGUCGCUNCGUCAGGGUUUCCCCAUUGCGCAAUAUUCCCACUGCUGCCUCCGGUAGGAGUCUGGGCCGGUGNUCCAGUCCAGUGUGGCUGGUCAUCCUCUCAGACA
rnacentral:rRNA from 1 species